UUAUAAAAUCUAAACCCAAG
rnacentral:snRNA from 1 species